GAGAAAGAUGAUUUCUCCCAUCAGUGCGAAUUUCCACUUCUAUCACAGCAGCCAACAACAUCCGUUUUCCUGCAGCAGUAACCUAUAACCCCUGUUGGCAAUGCCGGGGGACAGCAUCAACAGCAGCAGCAGCAGAAUUUGACCAUGGUAUGGUAUUGCGAAGAACUUUCCCCAUUAGAGGUUCCGUGCUUCGCGCACAUUCAAAAUCCUCUUCAGACACGAAAACUCAACAACAAGGAGGUAUUUAUCAACUUGCUCAGCUGAAUUACCACCCGGAGGAACCCGAAUGCACUGAUUCCGUUGUAUAGUAGAAUGAAAAUAGGCGAGGUAAGCGAACGUAAUCGCAUGAUAUUUUAAUAGUUCGCAUUUUUAUCCGGAUCAUACAACUGCUAUGAAUACAUCCGACUCAAUCAAUCGGCGAGUGAGAAAGAUGAUUUCCCUCAUCACCACAUUGCUUAUUUCCACUUCUGUCACGCCAGCCAACAGCAUCAGCUUUCCCGCAGCAGUAUCCUUUAAGUCCAGGGUGCUAUUCCGGGGAACAGCAUCAUCAGUAACAGCAGCAGGACCUGGCCAUCGAUAGUAUUUCGAGCAAUUUUCCCCAUCGGAGAUCCCGUGCUUCACGCACAUUGAAGAAACCUCCUCAGCCACAUAUGUGUGUCAAGGAGAAAAAGGAGCUGGAUUCGAAUCGUCAAUCCAGACAACCCGAAUGCACCGAUUGCAUUAUAUAUCUUGUUUAUAUUUUAUAUGCAUUUUGUGUUUUUUUGAAUAAAAUGAUUAAAAUCGA